rnacentral:rRNA from 1 species
GACGGACGGUGCAAGCGUUGCUCGGAAUCACUGGGCGUAAAGGGCGCGUAGGCGGUUCGUACAGUCAGACGUGAAAUUCCUGGGCUCAACCUGGGGGCUGCGUUUGAUACGUGCGGACUUGAGUGCGGAAGAGGGUCGUGGAAUUCCCAGUGUAGAGGUGAAAUUCGUAGAUAUUGGGAAGAACACCGGUGGCGAAGGCGGCGACCUGGUCCGAUACUGACGCUGAGGCGCGAAAGCGUGGGGAGCAAACAGG